AGUUCCGAUCAUGGCUCAGAUUGAACGCUGGCGGGAUGCUUUACACACAUGCAAGUCGAACGGCAGCACGGACUUCGGUCUGGUGGCGAGGGCGAACGGGUGAGUAAUGUAUCGGAACGUGCCUAGUAGGGCGGGGAUAACUACGCGAAAGCGUAGCCACGGUCAGCAUACACGUAUUCUUCUCGGGGGAAAGCGGGGACCUUCGGGCCUCGCACCAUUAGAGCGGCCGAUAUCGGAUUAGCUAGUUGGUGGGGUAACGGCUCGCUCAAGGAUGAUCCGUAGCUGGUUUGAGAGGACGACCAGCCACACUGGGACCGAGACACGGCCCAGAUCGCAUGGGAGGCAGCAGUGGGGAAUUUUGGAUAAUGGGGAAACCCUGAUCCAGCCAUCCUGCGUGUGCGAUGAAGGCCUUCGGGUUGUAAAGCACUUUUUUUGGCAGGAGGGAAACGGCACGGAUAAUACCCCGUGCAACUGACGGUACCUGCAGAAUAAGCACCGGCUAACUACGUGCCAGCAGCCGCGGAAAUACGGUAGGGUGCAAGCGUUAAUCGGAAUUACUGGGCGAAAAGCGUGCGCAGGCGGUUCUGGAAAAGAAAGAUGUGAAAUCCCCAGAGCUUAACUUUGGAACUGCAUUUUUAACUACCGAGCCGAUGUGUGUCAGAGGAGGUGGAAUUCGCGUAGCAGGAAAUGCGUAGAUAUGGAGGAACACUGAUGGCGAAGGCAGCCUCCUGGGGGAUAACACUGACGCUCAUGCACGAAAGCGUGGGAGCAAACAGGAUUAGAUACCUCAGUAGUCCACGCCCUAAACGAUGUCAACUAGCCGUUGAGCCUUCGGGCCUUGGUAGCGCAGCCAACGCGAAGUUGACCGCCUGGGGAGUACGGUCGCAAGAUUAAAACUCAAAGCAAUUGACGGGGACCCGCACAAGCGGUGGAUGAUGUGGAUUAAUUCGAUGCAACGCGAAAAACCUUACCUACCCUUGACAUGCUCAACUCAAGAGAUUUGGGAGUGCUCGCAAGAGAACCGGAACACAGGUGCUGCAUGGCUGUCGUCAGCUCGUGUCGUGAGAUGUUGGGUUAAGUCCCGGCAACGAGCGCAACCCUUGUCAUUAGUUACGCCGGGCACUCUAAUGAGACUGCCGGUGACAAACCGGUGAAGGUGGGGAUGACGUCAAGUCCUCAUGGCCCUUAUGGGUAGGGUCGGCUAUCAGUCAUACAAUGGUCGGGACAGAGGUCAACCCGCGAGGGGGAGCCAAUCCCAGAAACCCGAUCGGUCCGGAUCGCAGUCUGCAACUCGACUGCGUGAAGUCGGAAUCGCUAGUAAUCGCGGAUCAGCAUGUCGCGAUGAAUACGUUCCCGGCCUUGUACACACCGCCCGUCACACCACAGGAGUGGGUUUUACCAGAAGUAGUUAGCCUAACCGUAAGGAGGGCGAUUACCGUAGGAUCUUAUGACUGGGGUGUCGCAUUAUGUAGC
rnacentral:rRNA from 1 species